GAUGAAGAACGCAGCGAAAUGCGAUAAGUAAUGUGAAUUGCAGAAUUCCGUGAAUCAUCGAAUCUUUGAACGCAUAUUGCGCCCUCUGGCAUUCCGGGGGGCAUGCCUGUCCGAGCGUCAUUUCAACCAUCAAGCCCCCGGCUUGUGUUGGGGACCUGCGGCUGCCGCAGGCCCUGAAAACCAGUGGCGGGCUCGCUAGUCACUCCGAGCGUAGUAAUACAUCUCGCUCAGGGCGUGCUGCGGGUUCCGGCCGUUAAAACACCUUAUUUACCCAAGGUUGACCUCGGAUCAGGUAGGAAGACCCGCUGAACUUAAGCAUAUCAAUAAGCGGAGGA
rnacentral:misc_RNA from 1 species